rnacentral:rRNA from 1 species
UACAAUCAAACUGCGAAUGUCAUUAAGGAUGUCCGGCAGUCAGACUGUGAGUGAUAAGGUCCAUGGUCAAGAGGGAAACAGCCCAGACCGCCAGUUAAGGUCCCAAAAUACAGGCUAAGUGGAAAAGGAUGUGGGGAUGCCCAGACAACUAGGAGGUUGGCUCAGAAGCAGCCAUCCUUUAAAGAGUGCGUAACAGCUCACUAGUCGAGUGACCCUGCGCCGAAAAUGUACCGGGGCUAAGCCUGAUACCGAAACUGCGGAUUGUAGGAAACUAUAGUGGUAGGGGAGCGUUGUAUACGAGUAGAAGCCGUACCGUGAGGAGCGGUGGAUUGUAUAGAAGUGAGAAUGCCGGUGUGAGUAGCGAGAUGUAGGUGAGAAUCCUACACACCGAAAGCCCAAGGAUUCCAGGGGAAGGUUCGUCCGCCCUGGGUAAGUCGGGACCUAACGCGAGGCCGAAAGGCGUAGUGGAUGGAAAGCAGGCGAAAGAUUCCUGCACCCGUAUAUGGAGCGAAGGAGUGACGGAGACGGAUAGUGUGACCCUCUUAAUGGAUUGAGGGCGAAGCGAAGCGGCUGGUUACCAGGCAAAUCCGGUAACCAUAAGGCUAGAGCGUGAUAGGUAAGCGAAAUCUUAGGAAAGUAGCGAAGCACAUGAUGACGGCUUCCAGGAAAAGCUUCUGGCAAUGCAUAUGCGGCCCGUACCAAAACCGACACAGGUGGGCAGGGAGAGAAUCCCGAGGUGAGCGAGAGAACUGUUGCCAAGGAACUCGGCAAAAUGACUCCGUAAGUUAGCGAGAAGGAGUGCUUAAGCAAUUAAGCCGCAGUGAAGAGGCCCAAGCGACUGUUUAACUAAAACACAGCUCUCUGCGAAGUCGCAAGACGAAGUAUAGGGGGUGACACCUGCCCGGUGCUGGAAGGUUAAGAGGAUCUGUUAAGAGCGAUCUGAAGCAGUGAUCCGAAGCCCCAGUGAACGGCGGCCGUAACUAUAACGGUCCUAAGGUAGCGAAAUUCCUUGUCAGGUAAGUUCUGACCCGCACGAAAGGUGUAACGAUUUGGGCGCUGUCUCGGCAGCAGACUCGGUGAAAUCUUAGUACCUGUGAAAAUGCAGGUUACCCGCAACUAGACGGAAAGACCCCAUGGAGCUUUACUGCAGCCUGAUAUUGAAUUCUGGUCAUACAUGUACAGGAUAGGUGGGAGACAAAGAGACGUGCACGCCAGUGUACGAGGAGUCGACGUUGGGAUACCACUCUUGUGUGACCGGGGUUCUAACCUGGUAUCGAAAACAGGUACGGGGAGAGUGUCAGGUGGGCAGUUUGACUGGGGCGGUCGCCUCCCAA